UUUGCCUUCUCUCCGCGUCCCGCCUGCCCACAGUGGAGUCCGGGUCCCCUCUUCCUCCUCUCAGCGGCCUGGGGUCCCCAAGCCCUCGAGCUCCCACACAAGCCUGCUGCUCCCAGCGGACCCGGCUCACGCCUUAGACCUGACCAGAACGGAGUGCCUUCCGGCCUAGUCAAGGACACUGCCUCCUCCCCGCACACGCCGCCCGCGGCCUCGGCCAUCGGCUGGCCGACCCGGCGCGGGACACUCACCCAAACGCGAUCGGACCCUGGGAGUAGAACAGAGCAAAGCAAGGCAAGGAGGACAGUAGAUUGUGCCUCCCGCCCUCAGCAGCUUUAUAGCCACCCACCCACCCGACUCCGGCUGUGCCGGGAGGGGACAGAGGGCGGGACAGCGGCUACCUCAGCCAAUCACGAGCCUCAGAGUCGCUCGGGAGCGCCCGCCCCUCGAUCCGCUUUCUGCCAAUGGGAGGAAAAUGAGAGGCGGUGACUCGCUAGGGCUUUCCCCCGCCGCUGGAAGGGCGGGGUAAGGGGUGGGAACAAAGUCGGAGGACCUGGGAAGUGGGGUGAGACGGUGACGUAGGGUGGCCCGAGAACAAGCCCGCCAAUGACGGGACGGCGAGAGACGGCGAGAGCCAACGGGAGCGGAGUGAGAGGUUCUCCGACCAAUUGAAGUUUCCAGAGCAGCAAACUGCGUCUGCAUCACAAGUUGUGGCAUAAUACUUCACCCAGAAUUUCUAAAUUAGGCCCCAGCCAUACCAGAGAACAGAAUGUGGCACAAACAGAUCCACGGAGGCCAGAGGCCUCACGGAUGCAGCUCGCUCAAAAGCAUUCCAGGAAAAAGAAUGGGAAAAUACAGACUGUCCCCAAAGGGUAACGUGUAGGAAGGAGUAGAGUCAGAGCCUUCAGGUUCAGCAAUGAAAGGUGUUUCUGUCUGCUCUGCUUUAAGAAUAUGUCUGCAGAAAGUAUUAAACUGAGGACCAGGGAAAAGGAAAUUGGAUGAAGAGGAAGAGAAAGGGAAAAAGAAGAGAAGGGGGAAAAAGAGAAACAAAGGAAGAAAAAAAAACCAAUAAUAACAGACCCAGAGCAGCAUUUCAAAUUUAUUUCUGAGAGGUUCUAACCUCCUGAAUGACUUCAUUGAGGAAAACAACAACAACAAACAGAUUCCAAGAGAGAAUCUCCGUGAGCUUCAGGAAACCUCCGCCCCUGCCAAGGAUAACAGCUUCCUAUUGUACUUCUGGAAGCUUCUUAAUGAAGUCACUGUAGGGGGGUGUAAACAAGCAAACUGCUGUCUCAGAGAUCAAAAAGCACAAGGAUCAUCCAUAGGAUCAGAAACAAAGGAUUUAUUUCCAGGCAGAAAAUGGAAGGGAAGAGUCUAGCAAGCUCAUGGAUGUUUGAUUUCUAUUAAUUAAUAUUAAUUGUAGCUUAUAUGAUGCUUGUGAGUUACAUUUGUAAUACAAGCAAUGUUUUCUGUAUCUUAAACACUGGUCUCAAAUCGUAGAGCCUUUAUAUACUGUCAUGGUCUGUAUGCUUUGGAGUGAAAUGAUUUGAAAAUACUACUACUUAUAUUGAGUAUAGAAAACAUAACAGACACGGUCUAUAAUCUAUCACUAAAAGAUACAAAAUCUAAUUUUGAAACCAAAUCAGAGCUGCCCUGUAUUUUUCAACUUCUUUAUCAGCACAGAGUUCAAUUUACAAAUUUGCACUUGAAUAAGUUACAUGUUUUAAAACAGUGAUUGCCUCCAUAAUUUCUUUUAAUUAAAAGCUGGUACUUUUAAAAACUAAA